GUGCUUACACANGCAGUUNGAACGCUGAAGCCGACAGCUUGCUGUUGGUGGAUGAGUGGCGAACGGGUGAGUAACACGUGAGUAACCUGCCCCUGAUUUCGGGAUAAGCCUGGGAAACUGGGUCUAAUACCGGAUAUGACCAAUCUUCGCAUGAGGGUUGGUGGAAAGUUUUUCGAUCGGGGAUGGGCUCGCGGCCUAUCAGCUUGUUGGUGGGGUAAUGGCCUACCAAGGCGACGACGGGUAGCCGGCCUGAGAGGGCGACCGGCCACACUGGGACUGAGACACGGCCCAGACUCCUACGGGAGGCAGCAGUGGGGAAUAUUGCACAAUGGGGGAAACCCUGAUGCAGCGACGCAGCGUGCGGGAUGACGGCCUUCGGGUUGUAAACCGCUUUCAGCAGGGAAGAAGCGAAAGUGACGGUACCUGCAGAAGAAGUACCGGCUAACUACGUGCCAGCAGCCGCGGUAAUACGUAGGGUACGAGCGUUGUCCGGAAUUAUUGGGCGUAAAGAGCUCGUAGGUGGUUGGUCACGUCUGCUGUGGAAACGCAACGCUUAACGUUGCGCGUGCAGUGGGUACGGGCUGACUAAGUGCAGUAGGGAGUCUGGAAUUCCUGGUGUACGGUGAAAUGCGCCAUUCGGAGGACACCGUGGCGAAGGCGGA
rnacentral:rRNA from 1 species